rnacentral:lncRNA from 1 species
CAUGGUAUCUAUGAGGUCGAAACAAGAGCAACCCGCCCCUAUUUCAUGGCAAUUUUUUUUUCUUUUGUGUGAUGUACAAUGAAGUCAGCAAUCCUCUUGGCAACCCUCUAAUGGCCUCCCCACCGCCUUCCCCUCUGUCCAUUUCACUCCCUCCCCCCCUCUCUCUAUUUUCCUCUCUCGGAGGACAGAGCCCCGAAGGCCUCAAUGACCCUCUGAGAGCCUCCACGACCCACUAGUGGCCAUUGCCGGUGUCUCUACCAGCCUUCCUUUCCUUCCCUCCCUCCCCCCCCCCCAAUCUUUUCCUCUCCGGUUCUCCCUUCCCUCGCUUUCAUUUUUGUAUCAGUUCGGACCCCAUAUGAUCCGAUACGGGGGCAUACCGACCUAUACCGCCGUCUGGCCGGCAUGGGGUUUGGUUCCGAAUCAGCAAACCUUGGCCUCUAUAUUUAGAUCUUAAGAUAUUGAUCCCAAGAAACUGCAGAGCAUGUACCAGAAGAUUUCUUAAGUCAAGUAUCAUGCAUAUCUCUGGGAUUGGUCAAGUUGCUGGUG